AGCCCCAUGGUCUAGCGGCAAGGACGUCAGCCUUUGGAGCUGAAAACAGCGGUUCGAAUCCGCUUGGGGCUA
rnacentral:tRNA from 1 species